rnacentral:rRNA from 1 species
GAUGAACGCUGGCGGCGUGCCUAAUACAUGCAAGUCGAGCGAAUGGAUUAAGAGCUUGCUCUUAUGAAGUUAGCGGCGGACGGGUGAGUAACACGUGGGUAACCUGCCCAUAAGACUGGGAUAACUCCGGGAAACCGGGGCUAAUACCGGAUAAUAUUUUGAACUGCAUGGUUCAAAAUUGAAAGGCGGCUUCGGCUGUCACUUAUGGAUGGACCCGCGUCGCAGUAGCUAGUUGGGGAGGUAACGGCUCACCAAGGCGACGAUGCGUAGCCGACCUGAGAGGGCGAUCGGCCACACUGGGGCUGAGACAAGGCCCAGACUCCUACGGGGGGCAGCAGUAGGGAAUCUUCCGCAAUGGACGAAAGUCUGACGGAGCAACGCCGCGUGAGUGAUGAAGGCUUUCGGGUCGUAAAACUCUGUUGUUAGGGAAGAACAAGUGCUAGUUGAAUAAGCUGGCACCUUGACGGUACCUAACCAGAAAGCCACGGCUAACUACGUGCCAGCCGCCGCAGUAA